rnacentral:rRNA from 1 species
UACAGAGGGGGCAAGCGUUGUUCGGAAUUACUGGGCGUAAAGGGCGCGUAGGCGGCCUUCUAAGUCGAACGUGAAAUCCCCGGGCUCAACCCGGGAACUGCGUCCGAUACUGGAGGGCUUGAAUCCGGGAGAGGGAUGUGGAAUUCCAGGUGUAGCGGUGAAAUGCGUAGAUAUCUGGAGGAACACCGGUGGCGAAGGCGGCAUCCUGGGACC